CCCAGAGGCCACAGCUACUGCAAAGUACUGUGCUCAGGAGCUGAGAAUGGUGAAAACAUCUCACAAAACAGAUUCAGGGCAUCCUUGAGUUAAGGCUAGAUAUUUACUUGGCCAAAAAGAAAUUGAAGAGGUCCAGUAGACAUCUUGCUCAAACUAGCCUUGACGGGGGUUGAACCCUUGUACCCAACUUUCCAGUAGAGUGCGUGGACUCACUGUGCCACUGUGGAACCUGUAAUGGUGUAAUGGCCCAGCUGUGUUUAUUCACAGUGUGCUCAUACUUUCCUUGCCUGGGUUGCCUUCAUGUAUAGAACCUUUG